rnacentral:rRNA from 1 species
UACGUAGGGUGCGAGCGUUUAAUCGGAAUUACUGGGCGUAAAGCGUGCGCAGGCGGUUUUGUAAGCCAGAUGUGAAAAUCCCCGGGCUUAACCUGGGAAUGGCAUUUUGGGACUGCAAGGCUUGAGUUUGGCAGAGGAGACUGGAAUUCCUGGUGUAGCAGUGAAAUGCGUAGAUAUCAGGAGGAAUACCGAUGGCGAAGGCAGGUCUCUGGGCUAGAACUGACGCUCAUGCACGAAAGCGUGGGGAGCAAACAGG